rnacentral:lncRNA from 1 species
GGUGAUGGAGAGGAAAACACUUGCUAGCUUGUGCUUCUUUCUCAUUUUUCUCUUAGCUGCUCAUGUCUGAAUAACAGAUUUACAACAAAUUAAGUAAUAAACAAAGUUGAAGAAAUUCAGAACCAAUUGUAAAGACUUAACCCAUCAAUCAUUUAGGCAGAGGAUAAAGAAGUAAGCAACUCAAGCAUGCAUAAGGAGAUUGAAAAAGUUUACGAAACAUCACAAGUAAACUUAUAUCAGUAUCGACAUUAAAAUCUGCUGAAGUAUAUGCAAGAGCACCGUGAAGUGAAUCUUCUUUUCCAACACUAGGAAGCGGAAGAAAUUCCUUUCUCGCAGCAGCUUGCAAGUGGUUAAUAGUCUUUGCAUUCUCAGGAAUGUAGCCUUCUUCAUCGUAGUUAACAAAAGGUGACAAGUAAGGUGGAGGAGUGCUGUUAACAAAAGAAAAAUUUUAGGUUUUAAACGUUUAGCAAUUAAAAUUUCAAUUAGAAACAAAUUAAUCAAACAAAAUGAAAAGAAAAAAGGAUGUGUGGAUUUGUGAUUCCACAAGAAGAUAUCCCUUGAAGAAAAAACAAAUUUGCUCAGAAUAUAAUAUAGGACACUCCUACCAUAUAAGUU